GAUGAACGCUAGCUACAGGCUUAACACAUGCAAGUCGAGGGACCGGCGCACGGGUGAGUAACACGUAUCCAACCUGCCCUUUACUCGGGGCUAGCCUUUCGAAAGAAAGAUUAAUACCCGAUAUAAAGGAUGGGGAUGCGUUCCAUUAGGUUGUUGGUGAGGUAACGGCCCACCAAGCCUUCGAUGGAUAGGGGUUCGGAGAGGAAGGUCACCCACAUUGGAACUGAGACACGGUCCAAACGCCUAGGGGAGGCAGCAGUGAGGAAUAUUGGUCAAUGGGCGUUAGCCUGAACCAGCCAAGUAGCGAGAAGGAUGAAGGCUUAUGGGUCGUAAACUUCUUUUAUAUAAGAAUAUGUAUUAGAUGAAUAAGGAUCGGCUAACUCCGUGCCAGCAGCCGCGGUAAUUC
rnacentral:rRNA from 1 species